rnacentral:rRNA from 1 species
GGCCCAGACUCCUACGGGAGGCAGCAGUGAGGAAUAUUGGUCGAUGGGCGAGAGCCUGAACCAGCCAAGUAGCGUGCAGGAUGACGGCCCUAUGGGUUGUAAACUGCUUUUAUAAGGGAAUAAAGUGAGUCUCGUGAGACUUUUUGCAUGUACCUUAUGAAUAAGGACCGGCUAAUUCCGUGCCAGCAGCCGCGGUAAUACGGAAGGUCCGGGCGUUAUCCGGAUUUAUUGGGUUUAAAGGGAGCGUAGGCCGGAGAUUAAGCGUGUUGUGAAAUGUAGACGCUCAACGUCUGCACUGCAGCGCGAACUGGUUUCCUUGAGUACGCACAAAGUGGGCGGAAUUCGUGGUGUAGCGGUGAAAUGCUUAGAUAUCACGAAGAACUCCGAUUGCGAAGGCAGCUCACUGGAGCGCAACUGACGCUGAAGCUCGAAAGUGCGGGUAUCGAACAGGAUUAGAUAGCCUGGUAGUCCGCACGGUAAACGAUGGAUGCCCCGCUGUUGGUCUGAAUAGGUCAGCGGCCAAGCGAAAGCAUUAAGCAUCCCACCUGGGGAGUACGCCGGCAACGGUGAAACUCAAAGGAAUUGACGGGGGCCCGCACAAGCGGAGGAACAUGUGGUUUAAUUCGAUGAUACGCGAGGAACCUUACCCGGGGCUUGAAUUGCAGAGGGAAGGAUUUGGAGACAAUGACGCCCUUUCGGGGCCUCUGUGAAGGUGCUGCAUGGGUUGUCGUCAGCUCGUGCCGUGAGGUGUCGGCUUAAGUGCCAUAACGAGCGCAACCCCUCUCCUUAGUUGCCAUCAGUUGAAGCUGGGCACUCUGGGGACACUGCCACCGUAAGGUGUGAGGAAGGUGGGGAUGACGUUAAAUCAGCACGGCCCUUACGUCCGGGGCUACACACGUGUUACAAUGGCAGGUUCAGAGAGACGGUCCCUUGCAAAACGGAUCAAAUCCUUAAAGCCUGUCUCAGUUCGGACUGGGGUCUGCAACCCGACCCCACGAAGCUGGAUUCGCUUGUAAUCGCGCAUCAGCCAUGGCGCGGUGAAUACGUUCCCGGGCCUUGUACACACCGCCCGUCAAGCCAUGAAAGCCGGGGGCGCCUAAAGUCCGUGACCGUAAGGAGCGGCCUAGGGCGAAACUGGUAAUUGGGGCUAAGUCGUAACAAGGUAGCCGUA